rnacentral:rRNA from 1 species
GACGAACGCUGGCGGCGUGCUUAACACAUGCCAGUCGAACGGAAAGGCCUCUUUCGGGGGGUACUCGAGUGGCGAACGGGUGAGUAACACGUGAGUAACCUGCCCUUGACUUUGGGAUAACUUCAGGAAACUGGGGCUAAUACCGGAUAGGAGCUCCUGCUGCAUGGUGGGGGUUGGAAAGUUUCGGCGGUUGGGGAUGGACUCGCGGCUUAUCAGCUUGUUGGUGGGGUAGUGGCUUACCAAGGCUUUGACGGGUAGCCGGCCUGAGAGGGUGACCGGCCACAUUGGGACUGAGAUACGGCCCAGACUCCUACGGGAGGCAGCAGUGGGGAAUAUUGCACAAUGGGUGGAAGCCUGAUGCAGCAACGCCGUGUGUGGGAUGACGGCCUUCGGGUUGUAAACCGCUUUCGCUCAUGACGAAGCUUUGUGUGACGGUAGUGGGUAAAGAAGCACCGGCUAACUACGUG